AGCCUCCAGGAGCAGUGGAUUCAUAUUGCAGGCAAUGAGUCCCAGCAAUAACCCUGGAGGCAAAAAAAAAAAAAAAAAAAAGGAAAGAAAGAGAGAGUAAGAUAGAAGAUAGACAUCUACAUACCUGCUUCACUGCUCAUGAAGCAUCACCCUGCAGGUGGGGAGCGAGGUCUCAAACCCUGGUCCUUGCACAUAGUUCUAUAUGUGCUUGACUGGGUGUGCCUAUUAACUUUUGAAUGCUGCCUGGGUGGUAGACACACAAUCAGGCAUCGGGCACACAUAGCUGCUAGCGCUAAGAGAACAAAAAAAAGCUUGAGCAAUUCCAAACCUGAAAAUGGAGAGAAAGGCAAGGAAAGUUAUUUGUAUGGUGCUGGGCUAUAGGAUAAAGAAGAGGGCCUAUUGGGAUGGGCCUUCAGGGGUGACGUGGAAAAGUAUCGACUUAAUUCCACUCCAACAAGGCCAUUGAACAGUUGAAGGAAUCUUACAAGUUGACAGGGGAGUAGAGACGGAUGGCACGAGCUACUCUGAGCAGUUCAGAAAGGAGACGCCACAGAGAACAGUCAGAGAUGCUCUGGGUGGCAGAGUGGCUCUUCCUUCCAAAGUUAUUCAGGGGCAGGUGAAGUAGCUCUCACUUGGUUCGUGUGCUUCUCUACUGUGUACAUGACCCAGGUUCAGACCCCCACCCCAGCUGCACAUUGAAAGGAAAUUUCGCGCUGUGGCUUUUCACUCUCUCUCUGUCUCUGUCUCUCUCUCUCUCUCUAUCCAUAUAUAUAAAGUGCCUCAGAGUUUCAAGGGGCCAGAAAUGUGGCUCAAGUGGCAGGGCACCCGUCUCCUCACUUAUUAAAAAUGACACAAGUCAGGGAGGUGACUCCGUGAUAGUGUUGUGAAUAAGACCCUGGGCUUGAUAUUGGGCAUUAGAAAGAAGAAUUUCAAGACAGUGACAGUGGAGAAUUAAACCAACACAGGGCCCUGUGUGACUGAGAUAUUACAUGCCCAAGAAGUCAACUCUGCGGGCAGGUUUAUAUUCCUAUGCAUCUAAUGUUUAAAAGAGAGACACUGAUAGCAUAGGAAAGAAGAGAAGAGAAGUGAUAACCAGAGAAAUGACCCCUGUGGUGGGCCCCGUAGUGUAUGUGGAAGGACUGGGCGAGAUGGUUCAUGCCUUUCCCUAUGGCCAGAAGAUAAAUGUAAGUGGGUUAGAAAUAUGGUUAUGGGAGCGGGGUGGGGGCGUAGACAGCAUAGUGGUUACGCAAAGAGACUCUCAUGCCCGCGGUCUCAAAGUUCCAGGUUCACUACCACACAACAUGAUAAAGUCAGAGCUGAGAAGUGCUUUGGUUAAAAUAAUAAUGACAAGAAAGGGGACCAGGCGGUGGUGCACAUCGUUAAGUGCACACAGGACCAAGAGAAAGGACUUUUGUAAGGAUCUGGGUUUGAGCCCCCAGCUCCCACCUAUGGGGGGAGGAGGUAGAGAGGGGACUUCAAAGCAGUGAAGCAGGUCUGCAGGUGGCUAUCUAUUCUCUCCCUCUCUGUCUCCUCUUCCCUUUCAAUUUCUCUGUCCUAUCCAAUAAAAUGAAAAAAAAAAAAAAAAAGGCCGCCAGGAGCAGUGGAUUCAUAAUGCUGGUACCAAGCCUCAGGGAUAGCCCUAGUGGCAAAAUAAAAUAAAAUAAAAUAAAAU